CUGCUAUCGGUGAGGGAGGAGGAGGAGGCCGAGGGAAAUCUGGAACCAGACUUUUCCAGGACUUCCAGAUUUUAAGCCGGAUCUGGACUCACCCGUGGUGCUUACAGCUGGACUAUAUUAGCAAGGAAAAUAAGGGUUACUUUGAUGAAGACAGCACCGAGGAGUUCGUGGUGUCCGACUCCGAGGAAACCACCCCCAGUCCCAGUUCUGAAGAGGAAACCCCCGCG